rnacentral:lncRNA from 1 species
GGCCUCCAGUGGAAGGUAAGUGGCUGAGGCUUGCACUUCCAAACUUGCCAGCAGGUGGAGCCAAGUCUACCUCUCUGACUUUCGAGGAGAGUGCGUGUUCAGCUGGAGGACUUGAUUCCAUGCAGCUGACCGGGGCUUGGUCUUUUCAGGAUUCUCCAGGGCUUUGGCUUCCGGACAAUGACUGGCUGAGUCAACAUAGACAGGAGGUUGGUCUCCUCCGGACAUACUAGUCCAUGCAGACAGGAGCCAGUGUCUUCAGGACCUGCUGGGAGGCACCACCGCAGGAGUAAAAGGGCGAGCCCUGUGUUAUGGAUCUUACACCUUCCUAGAAAUAUGAAACAAACAACGGAAUCAUCCUACUAUUUAAGAAAAGGAAAACAUUUUUCCCUAAGACUCGAGGAAGAAGCUCCAGCCCCACCAUCAACACCCGAAGCUGAAAUUCCACUUCAACGAUUCCCUGAACAACUUGCUUAUGGGACAUUAACACUGUCUUUAAGUACUGUGUAAGUAUUUAAAAGUGACAUCUUGAAAACUAACAUUACUGUGUACUUUGUGCAUUUUGUGCCCUUCCACAUAUGUAAGUAUAUAUAUGUUCUUAUGCAUAAUACAUGAUAUGUAAUCAUAAAUUAAUUAUCCCAUGUGUAUAAGCAAGUACAUCAGCCUAUUGGUAUUACAUACACAUUAAACAGUUCAACUCACAUUAGAUUCCAGGGGUAAUUGAAGUGAUAUGAUACAGGACAUAUGUUUAUUAAUCAUACAUAUCACAUAAAGUCAAAUCAUUUCCAGUCAUCAUGUUUAUCAUAACCGAUAACCAGAGCUUAAUAAUCAAGCCACAAUCAACCCAUCCACAAAUAUGCCUCUCUCCUCGUUCUAGGCCAAUG